UUUCGUGCAUAUGUCUUCAUUCAUAUACAUCCAUCCCUUUUUGUAAACCAUUGAGAACGAUCUUAAUCUUCCCCCUUUAUUAAAUUAACGUCAUUAUUGUCAAUUCUAAUAAUUUUAUUCAAAGCAGUCAUUUAGCGGCCGGGCUGGUUGCGACUUUUCUCAAUGCUUCCGAGGCUUUCCCUGCAGCAAAGCAGAAAUCUUGCAUCUCUGGCCGGCAACAGACAGAUUCACUUCAACCUUCACACAUUCAACUCGUCCCUGUGUCGUCUCGCGUGGUCUAUGCCCGUCCGUUCUGCGUAGUUCCUUCUCCGCGAGAUGACAGUCCUCAGCCUCUAGCCGGUUCUUCAACUGGACAACUCCUCACCUGCACCCAGAAGGCCUGUUCUUCCCACAAAGAAGCCGAUGAAUGUCGUGACGAAAUGUUCAUGAUAACGGAGGGGGGCACAACUUUCCUCUACCUCUCCAGUGGACGGGCGACUACGGCUUUCGUUUCUUUUUGAAUAAAUUCAAAUGAGAAUCUAGA